UAAACUAGGAUUAGAUACCCUAUUAUUUUGAGUGUUAAUGUUUUUGCCUGAGUAGUAUUAGUUGUGUUCUUGAAACUUAAAGAAUUUGGCGGUAUCCUAUUCCGUUCAGAGGAAUCUGUCUCGUUAUCGAUAGUCCGCGUUGGACCUUACUUAGAGUUAUAUUUUUGGUUUGUAUACCGCCGUUUAUUGAUUAUCUUUUUAGAGUUCCUUAAUUUUCUGGUUUCUUUAAUUUGAUUUAUUGCAGGUCAAGGUGCAGCUUUUUCUAAGUGUAAUGAUGGAUUACAGUGUUAUGUGUUGUUUGGAUUGUUUAUUUUAAUAUUGACAUGAAAUUGGAUUUGGUUGUAAUGUCUUGUAGAUUGUUUUCAUGAUAGUUGGUUCUAGGAUAUGUACACAUCGCCCGUCGCUCUCAUUAAAAGA
rnacentral:rRNA from 1 species